rnacentral:lncRNA from 1 species
GCCUCACCUCAUCAGGCACUGCCAAAUUUGACACCUCCUUCCUGUUCACGGCAGUCCUUUGGGAUGGGGUAUUAGAUGCCACCAAAUAGCUGCAUAACUCACCCACUUUGUCAGAGCCUGGGUCUAAGCCAGGUCUGACAGACUCCAAAGCAAGCCCUGUUUACAGCAUGACUGGGAUCCAGUGGAUGAGGGAACUGAGCUGUCAAAACUAAGUGACUUGAUUGAGGCCAUGCAGCUGGCGAGGGGAGGACCAGGAUCUGAACCCAACUGGGUCUCCCAAGCCUGGGCCACUGAACCAUUUCACCUCUUGGAAAAACUUAAUGGUCAGAGUGGCCCACCCAGUCCAUGGACAGCAUGGAGGUAAUGAACUUUAAUCAGAAACUUAUUGUGCAUUGACUGAGCACUUAUUCUUUUAAGACAAUAUGUUUGGAUGUCUUUGGAUGUACAGAAUUCAAAUUAUUAAUAAUGUUCACAAAAGUUGCCCUGUAUUUUUAUGCUGAAAUACAACAAAAUGUCAACUCGGUUCCAGUGACCUUUAUACUGUACAUAUUAUGUUUAUUGUAGUUCUGUAUUGUAGCUAAAUUUAUUAUCUAACUUGUUGAUGCCAAUAAGCUGAUGCAUCUGAAAGGUACCUGCAAAAAAAUUAUCAUAUCA